rnacentral:rRNA from 1 species
CAUUCACGGAGAGUUUGAUCCUGGCUCAGGACGAACGCUGGCGGCGUGCUUAACACAUGCAAGUCGAACGAUGAAGCCGCUUCGGCGGUGGAUUAGUGGCGAACGGGUGAGUAACACGUGGGCAAUCUGCCCUGCACUCUGGGACAAGCCCUGGAAACGGGGUCUAAUACCGGAUACGACACAGG